CUUUGGUUUAAAAAAGAAUUUAGCCUGUAUGUACUGUUUUAACCACUGGAAGAAUGACAGAUGACAAAGACGUGCUUCGAGAUGUGUGGUUUGGACGAAUUCCAACUUGCUUCACUCUGUAUCAGGAUGAGAUAACUGAAAGGGAAGCAGAACCAUACUAUUUGCUUUUGCCAAGAGUAAGUUAUUUGACGUUGGUAACUGACAAAGUGAAAAAGCACUUUCAGAAAGUUACGAGACAAGAAGACAUUAGUGAGAUAUGGUUUGAAUAUGAAGGCACACCACUGAAAUGGCAUUAUCCAAUUGGUUUGCUAUUUGAUCUUCUCGCAUCAAGUUCAGCUCUUCCUUGGAACAUCACAGUACAUUUUAAGAGUUUUCCCGAAAAGGUCCUUCUGCACUGUCCAUCUAAGGAUGUAAUCGAAGCUCAUUUUAUGUCCUGUAUGAAAGAAGCUGAUGCUUUAAAGCAUAAAAGUCAAGUAAUCAAUGAAAUGCAGAAGAAAGAUCACAAGCAGCUCUGGAUGGGAUUACAAAAUGACAGAUUUGACCAGUUUUCGACCAUCAAUCGAAAACUCAUGGAAUAUCCUGCAGAAGAAAAUGGAUUUCGUUAUAUCCCCUUUAGAAUAUAUCAGACAACAACUGAACGACCUUUCAUUCAGAAGCUGUUUCGUCCUGUGGCUGCAGAUGGACAAUUACAUACACUAGGAGAUCUCCUCAAAGAAGUUUGUCCUUCUGCUAUUGCUCCUGAAGAUGGGGAAAAAAAGAAUCAAGUGAUGAUUCAUGUAAUUGAGCCAAUGUUGGAAACUCCUCUGCAGUGGCUGAGUGAACAUCUGAGCUACCCGGAUAAUUUUCUUCAUAUUAGUAUCAUCCUGCAACCAACAGAUUGAAGGAUCAACUAUUUGCCUGAACGGAAUUGCCCUUAAACAGGAUUUACCAGAGCAUGUCACCCUUCUGCUUCAAUCAGGUUUGGUGGAGGCAGCCUGACCAGAAACACUGCGCCUGCUGCAAGCCAAACAGGAACAAGAUUCCAUGUCAGAUAAGGCAAUUGAGUUGGUCUUCCUUUGCAUCACCACUCUUUUCCUCCACUGCCGUCAGUAAACCUCAGCUGUGACAUGAAAGACUUUACAGGACCACUGCAAGUCUUCUGUUUUCUUGUAAAAUAUAACGAAGCCAAAACCUCUGGCCUAAGAAGAUGUGCCACUUGAUUUGUAUUUCUGAUUAACAAAUAAACAGAGAUAUUUCCUAAGGUGACCGUGGUUGAACUUUAGCUUGAGAGAGUGGAAACAUUGGUUUAAUUUUCAAGAGAAUUAGACUUAAGAAAGUAAAAGAGAAAUUCUGUUAUCAAUAACUUGCAGUAAUUUUUUUGUAAACGAUUGAAUUACAGUAAACCCAUCUUUCCUUAAUGAGAAUUUCCUAUGUUUACAGUCUGUCCAUUGGUAUGCAAACAAUCUUGAAACUUUGAUAAUGAACAGUGAGAGAUUUUUAAAUAAAGCCUCUAAAUAUG